rnacentral:rRNA from 1 species
GUUCUUUAAAUGAGGACUCGUAUCAAUGGCACCACGAGGACUUUACUGUCUCCUUUUUCUAAUCAGUGAAACUAAUCUUCCCGUGAAGAAGCGGGAAUAAAUAGAUAAGACGAGAAGACCCCAUGGAGCUUUAAGCUUACUGCACCUCUAUUUUCUAUAACCUCUUAUUAAACGGAAUACUGCUUACUUAGCUUUAGGUUGGGGUGACCGCGGAGUAUAACAUAACCUCCAUGAUGAACAAAACUAUUUUCUUAUCUAAGAACAACAGUUCUAAGAAUUAGUAUUCUAACAUAAAAUGAUCCGAUAAUCGAUCAACGGACUAAGUUACCCUGGGGAUAACAGCGCAAUCCAUUUCAAGAGCCCCUAUCGACAAAUGGGUUUACGACCUCGAUGUUGGAUCAGGAUAUCCUAGUGGUGCAGCAGCUACUGAAGGUUCGUUUGUUCAACGAUUAAAAUCCU